rnacentral:tRNA from 1 species
GCCGGGGUGGCGAAACUGGUACACGCGAUAGAUUGAGGUUCUAUUGCCGCAAGGCUUGCAGGUUCAACUCCUGUCCCCGGCA